AUUUAUUUUACGCAUUUUAACAAUGACCUCUCCUCAACAUUAGGGACUACAAUAUAUUUUUUGUUAUCACCAUGUGAAGCAAAGUCCUCUUCCUGUUGUUCAUUUUCCCUAUGUUUUUAUAUUUUUUUUUUGUUUAGAGCACAUAUCUACUGAAGAUACAUCGUCUUUCGAAAUCAACAACAAUUAGAGAAGUGUACUUACAAUUUAUAUUUUGGUGACUAAUUGUUCGAUCUUGUAUUGCUGAUCUCAUCAUUCAUGUCCAGUGGUCAAUGUUAAAACAAGAUUGUCUGCCUCGCGAUAAAUACAAUGUUAACAUCAGACAUUGGGCGAAUUACAUUGCGAUGUAAUGCAUUAUAUUACAAUUACUUUGAC
rnacentral:lncRNA from 1 species